rnacentral:rRNA from 1 species
UAGAGUUUGAUCAUGGCUCAGAUUGAACGCUGGCGGCAGGCCUAACACAUGCAAGUCGAGCGGCAGCACAGGGGAACUUGUUCCCUGGGUGGCGAGCGGCGGACGGGUGAGUAAUGGCUGGGAACCUGCCCUGAUGUGGGGGAUAACAGUUGGAAACGACUGCUAAUACCGCAUGAUGUCUACGGACCAAAGAGGAGGACCUUCGGGCUUCUCGCGUCAGGAUGGGCCCAGUUGGGAUUAGCUAGUUGGUAGGGUAAUGGCCUACCAAGGCGACGAUCCCUAGCUGGUUUGAGAGGAUGAUCAGCCACACUGGAACUGAGACACGGUCCAGACUCCUACGGGAGGCAGCAGUGGGGAAUAUUGCACAAUGGGCGCAAGCCUGAUGCAGCCAUGCCGCGUGUGUGAAGAAGGCCUUCGGGUUGUAAAGCACUUUCAGCAGUGAGGAAGGUGGUGUAGUUAAUACCUGCAUCAUUUGACGUUAGCUGCAGAAGAAGCACCGGCUAACUCCGUGCCAGCAGCCGCGGUAAUACGGAGGGUGCGAGCGUUAAUCGGAAUUACUGGGCGUAAAGCGCAUGCAGGCGGUCUGUUAAGCAAGAUGUGAAAGCCCCGGGCUUAACCUG